AAUUACGAUAACAAAAAUAGACUCCUAGGCCACAAAAUGAGAGUGGAUCGUUAGCAACAAUAUCAUUUUUUAUAUAUAAAUUUUGUCGAUUGAUUCGGUAAAUCUCGAUAGAAACAUACCGAUAUACUUUAUAGUGGACUUCUUCUUAAAGGACCACCACAUUGUCUGUUCUUAGUUUGCAUUUCUAACUAUCACAUAAACCAAUUGGGUUAAGACCCAAUUGACAGACUUCCUAAACAAAUGUGAUUUAAAUAAUAUUAUUUUUGUCCAGUUUCUUGUUACUAACUCAAUAAUAUACAGAUUUAAAUUUAAAUAUACAUUUUAUACUUAAAUUUCUAAUAUUAAAAAAAAAAGUUUGUAUAUAUUGACAGAAUAAUAGAAUCACUUAUUUUUUAGUCAUCUAUAGUAAAAGUAUAUAGAAAGGUUAGUAAAAAA
rnacentral:sRNA from 1 species